CGCCUGAUGGUGUUCCGUUGUAUAUCAAGAAUGCCACCUGCGGUCUGCUCUCUGAGAACUGAACAGAGCCCUUUCUUUCUGCCAACUGAAAUUUCCUCAAGUCCAAGGAUGCAGAAUGGCCACCCCAGGCCCAUGGGUCCAGAGAGAAGGCGGGUGUGCCUGAGUCCCGGGAAACAUGGAGGCAGGGGCUGCAGAAGCAGGUGGGGCCUGGUGGAUAGGAGGGAGGCUGGGGGUCGCCAGGCAGGAGAGUUGAGAGUCCCAGGCCCUCUUGGACCACAUGGCAAGGCCCUGUCUCAAAAACACAAAAGACAAGAAGCAUGUGAUCCUCAUUCAAGGAGCCACAAGGGACACUGCCACACCUGCUGGGAACAAAGGUUCUAGAACCGAACAGGGCAGGCCAAUGGGUCAGAGGGAGCAGGGUGGUGCCAGCUGCUCCUGCACCUUGCUCUAGAGGCCAGAAAAGCCCGAAUCACCUCUCGCCCCAGCCCUGACCCAAGCCAGGAACCCACGCUUGGGGAAAACAUGGCCUUCCGUCCACUUUCAGGGGAGAGGAGGGAGGGUCUGAUACAAGCCUCUGACACGGCAGCAGUAGAGGAUCAUGCACGGGGGGCGGGGCAGAGACCCCAUCUAGCAGCCCUCCUCCCCCCAUCAUGGGUGUCACCAGGGCAAGCUGACUCACUGCUGCCACUGAAAGCCACCUCGGGAGGGCGCAGGAGUGGAGAGAGGGCCCUCUGCCAGCAGGUUGUCCCGGCCAUCCUCUGUCCCUGGUGCACACGGCUCCCUUCUGGGUUGUCCCUGGUGGCAACUUGAACCCAAGCACACAGAGCUCAGUGGGCUUCCACCAGGGGCGCGCUGGCCCCGGACUUGGCCAUCUCUCUGCUGAAGAUACCCCAGCACUCAGUGCCCCUUGCCCUCCGCCUUCUCCCCACCCUCACCCUCCUCUCCCUGUCCCCCCCCCCAGGCCUCUCCUGGUGAAGGCUCAAGCUCAGGUUCAAAGGUGCCUCCUUCCACCAGAUGGAAACCCCGUGCCUCCCCUUCCCACCCCAGGAGGACAGUCCUGGCCCUUCCAGCGCACUGCAGGGUUCCUCCUUCCCUGAGUUUCCCUGGUGGAGCAGAACCUGGCUAUAGGACCCACCUCAGCCCGGCAUCCCUCUCCAGGGCCGGCUUCCCCUGGCACAGUGGCCCCCUUGCUUCUUCAUAUCAGAAAUCCUGGUCAUCUUUCUCCCUUCUUUUUUAUAUACCCCCAUAUUUUAUAUAUAAAUAUAUAUAAUUAUUAUUUCUG
rnacentral:lncRNA from 1 species